GCAAUUCAGCCCCACCUCCACUCAGGCUGGCAUUCGUCAAUACUCCUGAGAUCGUCUGAAAUCCUUAAGAGAUCCCAAGUCUGGAUUGUCCACCCUUGCAAACCAGAAUGGUUAUGAUGCUCCUUUUGACCGCAGCUCCAUCCUGCCCAUCGAGAUUCCCAACCUUCCUCAUCAGUGAGUCAGCGUAUCCACUGGCUUCUUGGUUUCACAGGAUUGGAGGGCUAUUGAUUCAUCCAAGGUUAUACAAUCUAAUGAACAUCAGAGACAGACUGAGGAUUAUUGCCAAAGACCACUUCUGCAAAGGAAACGCUGUGGAGUUUUUUUAUAAAUACGCACUUGAUAAGAUGCACGAAUUUCAAUCAUUUGACUACUCGUUAUCAUUCCACCGAAAGUACUUCAUGGAGAAGAGGUUACUGGACAAGUCAACUGCUCUGGAUUUGCCAAAUGGUGAGACUGAUGGAGAUUAUCCUGUGAUGGAACCUGCAUCCUUGAACAGAACUGGGAAUCCAGGAGGCUGGGCCAAGGGUUGUAUGCAGGGAGAGCCACAGACCCACAGGAGCACCAUGUGA
rnacentral:lncRNA from 1 species